rnacentral:rRNA from 1 species
CAGUAGCCGCGGGAAUACGGAGGAUCCGAGCGUUAUCCGGAAUUAUUGGGUUUAAAGGGUGCGUAGGCGGAUAGAUAAGUCAGUGGUGAAAGACGGUGGCUCAACCAUCGCAGUGCCGUUGAUACUGUUUAUCUUGAAUAUGGAUGAGGUAGGCGGAAUGUGGCAAGUAGCGGUGAAAUGCAUAGAUAUGCCACAGAACACCGAUUGCGAAGGCAGCUUACCAAGGCAAAAUUGACGCUGAGGCACGAAAGCGUGGGGAUCGAACAGGAUUAGAUACCCCCGUAGUCCCUGUCUCUUAUAC